ACCAAAUCUAAGGCAUACACCUUUGCUACAGCCCAAAGCAGAGAGGACCGCUACACCUUCAGCACACAUAAAGUCACCUUUACCGUGUGUCCAACAGCCCUCCUCUCAGUGCUGAGUUCAGUAGAGAUUUGGCCAGACUGCCAGCUACCUGCAGCUAUGCAACCAGAGCCCAGUACAGACGCCUCAUAGACACAUACGGACACACUAUAUUCACCAGGUUGAUCUUGGAGCGCAGUUCAGGCGAGUCACGUCUACAUGUACCUGCUUGUCCAGUCUGAAUCAUAAUGAAUUAUAGACACCCACAGUACCUCUGCCUUGUACAGCUCUGGUCUCCACAGUCAUUAUUCAGAAGUGGUGGGAGGCAGAGGCUGGACUGGGGAGUUUUCACUCACCAGAAAUGACUCCCUGGGCUACCAGAAUUGGCUAAAAACCCUCAAGGAUCAGCCUGAUGUAGUUUGCUACUCCCUAAGACCACUGCAUGACCUGGUGCAACAGUCAGCACAAAAAGCAGGACUGAAGGCUGCCAUAGAGCAGUACUUAAAAGAUAACGCCAUCAGUAGA